CCCACUCAGGCCGCCCCGCCUCCUCGGCGCCGCGCAGGCGCCCAUUGGCCGGCGCCAACUCGUCACCUCCGGGGUCCGGCUCUCGCAGAGCUGAGGAGCGAAGGGGAAGGACUGGGCUGCUGCGGCCCAGCAGCCGUCCUCAAUGUUCCACACUUGGCAGCGCCCUCAGAUUCAGAUGUGCACUUCAGGCCUUGAGGACUAUGUGAUGGGGACUUUCAGUUCUGAUGUUGACAUCAUUAAUUCCCAGGUAGGCCCCUGUGUGGAUGAUUCUAGAUUCUUAGGCUACACUUGACUUAACAUGACCCUGGUCUUAUGCAAACUUUUCUAAAAGUUCCCAGGUAGAUUUUUAAAAAGAUGACAGUAAUUUUGCACUAGAGAAAGACAAAAUGCACCCAGACCCUCUGAAUGUAUUAGUAUCUUAAGGAUGCUGUAACAAAACACCACAAACUGGAUGGCAUAAAACAACAGAAACAAAUUUGCUAAGGCUGUCUUUGAACUUGGAAUUCUCCUGCCUCAGCCUCCCCAACUGCUGGGAAUACAAGUAUGCACCACUGUACCCAGCCAGGAAUGCAGAUGUUUCAAUUGUCAAGAAUGUAAAUGCAACACUCAGUCUGAAUGAUGGAACAAGUGCCACCCUGACCUGCUGUAAGAACAUCCAAGGCACCCAUAUGUCUUGGUCACCUUCACACCUGCUGCACCAGAAGGGACUUCUCUCCACUCCAGCCUGGACAAGGUUCUCACUUCUCCCAUUCAAGAUUUCAUUGGAUAUUCAAGCCAGUCCAGUAAAUUAAGACCAAAAAAAAAAAAAAAAAAAGAAUAAUCUACAGAUUUUAAAGGAAGAAGUAAAUAUGUGUUUAUUUGAAACAAUGUUCUUAUGGAAAUAGAAAAGUCUACGGAAUCUAGAAAAAAGUACUAGACCAGGUUACUUCUCCCAUGUGCACUUAUAUAAAGAUGCCAGCUUUGUUUUAGGAGGAAUACAGUGGUCCCCCUCCCCAUCUGCAAGGAUGUACUUCAAGACCAUUUGUAGAUGUCUGAAACUGCAGGUUAAGGCCAAUCAAACUCCCUCAGCACACAGCAAGAACCAAGGACAAACAUGAGGGGCUGACACACCAGGAUGUCUCCUCCUAUCUUGUAGUUCCACGAAGUCAGGAGACUGUCUCGUGCAUCCAAAAACCAUCUUGCAAAGAAGAAGGAAAAGCACUAAGAAAUCUGAGCAUUCAACCCUCCAGAAGAGGCAACUGAGUCCAGCAGAGCCUGGAUUCUGGGAGUGAUUCUAUAAUUUGGCAUAGUUGUUAGACAAACAUCACACCCAACACUGCUUCCCUGAAGGUUGCUGACAACACUAAAAACAAAUAUGGAUGGUUAUUUAUGUUUGUCUCAUCUGUUAACUUUGGCUUAAUGGAGAAUAUGGAGGCUCUGAAGCUAGUGAGGGAGCAGGAAAGAACAAGAGCAUUUCCCUUCCAUGCUGUAUCUCCAGGACAUUCUGUCCAAACUUUGUUGUUUCAGAGCUUUACCCCCAGGUGCUACUCUAUCGCUUUUCAUAAAAACUGACUAAAUAAAGUUACAUGGCUUCCAAGAGAGGCCUCUGUGCACCAGCACAUGGACAUAUUUAACAUACACGCUUUUAACCUUUAGCCUGUCCACAGCACUUCACACAUGUAGUGCAUCUGAAGGGUUUAAAAAAAUUUUUUUCAGGAAAAAAAAUGGUAGCUUCAAAUAGAACAUUACUUGGCCCUCAUAGGUCUAAAAUUUUUAGGAAGAACAAAUAAAUGUUUGUAUAUAUCAAACAUUUACAAAAACAAAAAUUUCCCUGUAUUUUAUUUGCCUUUAUACAAAUCUGGUUUGCAAGUCCCUUUACCGUGAUUUGAAUUGACCCAUUGGAUGGAACACAGGCCAAUUCCACCAGACUCCUGCCUAUGCCUAACAAUGGAAUUACAAAAAAAAAAAUAAAUAAAUAAAAUAAAAUAAACAAACCAAAAAACCAAAAAACAAAAACCUAGAUUCUGUGGGAAAAAAAAUGUAAGGGAAAGAUUUGCAUUGAACAUCUAUGAUGAUACUGCUGAUUUAUAGCAGGAGUUUAGAUAUUUUAAAUUAUUUAUUUCAAGUUUUUAAAAAACAUUUCUUGAAUUCAGUGAAUUUUAUAUAAUAUACUAUUUGGGAAAUUUCAGAGUUCACAUAAUCAGAGUCCCAUGUUGUAAGAAGCCAUGUGAUACCUUAAGGACAAAUCUAAACAUUUCUCCCAAUCUAAUCACUUUUAUGUAUUUAUCUUGCUGAUGCCUAUAAUAUAAAUUUAUACUAAUAACUAUAUGAGAAUGAGAGACAAGUAUCUUAAUGCUAAAAUAAUUACAGUAUUAAAAGUAUUAGGCAAAUUAUUUCCUGGUUCCAACAACAGAUGAGGACAGUCUUCAUGAUCUGAGGAAAUAUGCUCGAUUGCUCGGUGCUGAAAAGGCUGAGAAUUACAGAGAAAAAAAAUAAACAAUUCAAUCAGU